CAAAGGUCCAUUAGUUAAAAUGGAGAGCGCUGUUAUAAAUAUAAUAGCAAACCCUAGUGUUUUAUCCGUUAUCUGUUUUUCUAGGGUUCUCAAGACCGAGCCGCGAGCAUUCGUAGUUUCAUCGGAGUACCUCUUUCACCAUGAGAGCCAAGUGGAAGAAGAAGCGUAUGAGGAGGUUGAAGAGGAAGCGCCGGAAGAUGAGGCAGAGAUCCAAGUAGUCUCCCCUUUAUUAGCAUCGCUUCUCCGGCGUUUCCAUUUUCUUGAUGUUGCAUUCGAUAUCGUUAAUUUCAGUUAUUGCAAUUUUCGAACUACAUUUUGUAGAUGAACUAUUUAAAUCACAUGAGCUUUUCGCCAAUAUCGAGAUUAAUUUUGCCAAUCCUA